rnacentral:rRNA from 1 species
GACGAACGCUGGCGGCGUGCUUAACACAUGCAAGUCGAACGGAAAGGCCCUGCUUUUGUGGGGUGCUCGAGUGGCGAACGGGUGAGUAACACGUGAGUAACCUGCCCUUGACUUUGGGAUAACUUCAGGAAACUGGGGCUAAUACCGGAUAGGAGCUCCUGCUGCAUGGUGGGGGUUGGAAAGUUUCGGCGGUUGGGGAUGGACUCGCGGCUUAUCAGCUUGUUGGUGGGGUAGUGGCUUACCAAGGCUUUGACGGGUAGCCGGCCUGGGAGGGUGACCGGCCACAUUGGGACUGGGAUACGGCCCAGACCCCUACGGGGGGCAGGAGGGGGGAAUAUUGCACAAGGGGCGGAAGCCUGAUGCAGAAACCCCGGGUGGGGGAUGACGGCCUUGGGGUUGUAAACCGCUUUCGCCUGUGACGAAGCGUGGGUGACGGUAAUGGGUAAAGAAGCCCCGGCUAACUACGU